UAUACCCCUUCACUCCUUAUCACAGACUCAUCUGCAAUCUUGACUUCCAUAGUUGCUCCUUGCAUCACUAAGACAACUUUGGUUAUAAUAGAGGGAUCGAUGAAGUUAUGAUUAUUGCUAGUAUCAAGAAGAAUGGUAACCCUAACUCCCUUGAUAAACCCUAUUAACCUCAUUGUUCCAGGAUUUAGGCUUCCCAAGAGAGCAUUUAAUGAUAUUUCAAGGUUUGGAAUCUGAUUUAGGGAGGCCAAGUAUUGAUGGUUUGGUUUGUUGCCCCACCCUGUAUCUCCUGGUUUGAAGGCACCUCUCCUACUACUAAUCCAGUACUCCUCUUGGAUCUUUGCUAAUCCAAAGGCUUGAUGCAGAGAAGACGGAUAAAGCAUUCUAAUAGUUUUACCCCAGCAACUAUCUCAGAUAAUUGGAAAUAUCUGGUGCUGGUACCUGCUGCCAUGGCUGGAUCGUUGCUCUGAUACCAAUUGCAGUAAACAUUCUUAACUACUUCAAGGGAGUCUUCCUCUAAGAACUAGAAAGAGAUAAGGAAGAAAAAUAGAGAGAUUCAAGAAGAAAAGCUGUAGUCUUAUUUUCUCAUGCCUCUAUUCUGUCACCUUACAAGUAUUUAUGCGUGAGGUUCUCUUUACCAUAGCAGCAGCUAACUAAUUACUUACAUCAAUACUAAUCGACAAUUACACCAGCACUAACAAACUAUUAGCUUUAGCUAUUUACUAGUAAAAUAACAGCACAUCACACAAGCUGACGUGUCAGCUUCAUUGCAAAGCUUACUAUUAGUACCGGGUCAGCCAUGGUAUAUUUUAAGUAUGAUCCAAUACCUAGGAUGUGAGAAUACGUGGAACACUACUUGACAUAAUCCAGAUGACAGUUGAGGAUUUCUAUAUUUCCAGUCUCAUUUCAUGCACACUUUUUUUUUUUUUUAAUGAGUUGGUUCAGUCAUUAUAUUGUGUUCACUUCCAGUUUCAAUUGUUGAUGUUUAGCGUCUAAAAUACCAAUUGCUAUGUGCUAAUAGGUUUUGUUUGUUAAAAAGAUCCACGGCAUGCUGCUUUUCAUGAUGAGGAAUGGACAGUCCCAGUCCAUAAUGACAAGAUACUGUUUGAAUUGCUCAGCCUAUCAGGUGCUUUGGCUGAACUUACAUGGCCUGCAAUUCUUAACAGAAGGCAUAUAUUUGGGUAUUGGUCAUACUCUUCAUGUGAUGAAAUCGAAAUAUCUAGUGUAGUGAGUUUAUGGGAGGUCUUUUCCGGACUUUGACCCAGAUGCCGUUUCAAAAUACAAUGAGAACAAUAUAGACACACCAGGAAGCCUAGCCAGCUCUCUACUAUCAGAAGCGAAGCUGCGAGCCAUCAUUGACAAUGCAAAUCAAAUGUGCAGGGUUCAGACCAUCAUUUAUUGUUCAUCUAACUUUACUACUCUAUACCAUAGAUUAAAUAUGAGGUGCUUUGGUUGUUUUAGGAAUUAUUGAUCAUUUGUUUGGUGAGGAAGCUAUUGCAUAAUGCUUAGUACUGUUGAAAAACCGUCUUUACCCACAAAUAAUCUUGAACUGCAUGGCUACCCCAGAGAAACAAAAUGAGGGAGAGGCAGCAAAAAAUCUCCAUUUUGUGUAUAAUUCAACAAGAAUCUUGUAUGUUUUUGAUAUUAUGCAGGUAAUUGACGGGUUUGGGUUUUUCAGCAAGUACAUAUGGAACUUUGUGAACCAUAAGCCUAUAGUUAGCCAAUUCCGGUACUCUCGCCAGGUUCCAGUCAAGACACCGAACUCCAAAAGACGAAAUGAUGAGUAAAAAGACCUUGUUAAGGGGGGUGUUCCGCAGUGUUGGGCCCACGGUCAUCCAUACAUUUAUGCAGGUGGCUGGACUAACAAAUCACCAUCUCAUUAGUUGCUUCAGAUUCGAGUGUUUUACCGUGGGCAAAUCAGAUGAAAAAGAUGGUACUCAUAAAUCCAAGAUGGAAGAAAAAUUACCAGUUGACACAACUCACUUGGGACUAGCAAGAACUAUCGAUGAAUUGAGUUUCACAUCGAAUUAGUAUCUUACGUAUUUGGUGUACUGUAAAUAAAUUCUGUUCUUGUUGGCUCCACCUCAAUGAUGUGGAGUGAUUCUGGGGAAGUUUUCUCUGUACAAAUAAAUGUAGAUAUGAAAAAAUAGAUUGAAGCA